rnacentral:rRNA from 1 species
GACGAACGCUGGCGGCGUGCUUAACACAUGCCAGUCGAACGGAAAGGCCCUGCUUUUGUGGGGUGCUCGAGUGGCGAACGGGUGAGUAACACGUGAGUAACCUGCCCUUGACUUUGGGAUAACUUCAGGAAACUGGGGCUAAUACCGGAUAGGAGCUCCUGCUGCAUGGUGGGGGUUGGAAAGUUUCGGCGGUUGGGGAUGGACUCGCGGCUUAUCAGCUUGUUGGUGGGGUAGUGGCUUACCAAGGCUUUGACGGGUAGCCGGCCUGAGAGGGUGACCGGCCACAUUGGGACUGAGAUACGGCCCAGACUGCUACGGGAGGCAGCAGUGGGGAAUAUUGCACAAUGGGCGGAAGCCUGAAGAAGCAACGCCGCGUGCGGGAUGACUGCAUUCGGGUUAUAAACCGCUUUCGCCUGUGACGAAGCGUGAGUGACGGUAAUGGGUAAAGAAGCACCGGCUAACUACGUG